CUAAUACCGGAUAUGAGCUACCUUCGCAUGGGGGUGGUUGGAAAGUUUUUCGGUCAGGGAUGGGCUCGCGGCCUAUCAGCUUGUUGGUGGGGUGAUGGCCUACCAAGGCGACGACGGGUAGCCGGCCUGAGAGGGCGACCGGCCACACUGGGACUGAGACACGGCCCAGACUCCUACGGGAGGCAGCAGUGGGGAAUAUUGCACAAUGGGCGCAAGCCUGAUGCAGCGACGCCGCGUGAGGGAUGAAGGCCUUCGGGUUGUAAACCUCUUUCAGCAGGGAAGAAGCGCAAGUGACGGUACCUGCAGAAGAAGCGCCGGCUAACUACGUGCCAGCAGCCGCGGUAAUACGUAGGGCGCAAGCGUUGUCCGGAAUUAUUGGGCGUAAAGAGCUCGUAGGCGGUCUGUCGCGUCUGGUGUGAAAACUCGAGGCUCAACCUCGAGCUUGCAUCGGGUACGGGCAGACUAGAGUGCGGUAGGGGAGACUGGAAUUCCUGGUGUAGCGGUGGAAUGCGCAGAUAUCAGGAGGAACACCGAUGGCGAAGGCAGGUCUCUGGGCCGCAACUGACGCUGAGGAGCGAAAGCAUGGGGAGCGAACAGGAUUAGAUACCCUGGUAGUCCAUGCCGUAAACGUUGGGCACUAGGUGUGGGGCUCAUUCCACGAGUUCCGUGCCGCAGCAAACGCAUUAAGUGCCCCGCCUGGGGAGUACGGCCGCAAGGCUAAAACUCAAAGGAAUUGACGGGGGCCCGCACAAGCGGCGGAGCAUGCGGAUUAAUUCGAUGCAACGCGAAGAACCUUACCAAGGCUUGACAU
rnacentral:rRNA from 1 species